GAUGAACGCUGGCGGCGUGCCUAAUACAUGCAAGUCGAGCGAACAGACGAGGAGCUUGCUCCUCUGACGUUAGCGGCGGACGGGUGAGUAACACGUGGAUAACCUACCUAUAAGACUGGGAUAACUUCGGGAAACCGGAGCUAAUACCGGAUAAUAUAUUGAACCGCAUGGUUCAAUAGUGAAAGACGGUUUUGCUGUCACUUAUAGAUGGAUCCGCGCCGCAUUAGCUAGUUGGUAAGGUAACGGCUUACCAAGGCAACGAUGCGUAGCCGACCUGAGAGGGUGGUCGGCCACACUGGAACUGAGACACGGUCCAGACUCCUACGGGAGGCAGCAGUAGGGAAUCUUCCGCAAUGGGCGAAAGCCUGACGGAGCAACGCCGCGUGAGUGAUGAAGGUCUUCGGAUCGUAAAACUCUGUUAUUAGGGAAGAACAAAUGUGUAAGUAACUAUGCACGUCUUGACGGUACCUAAUCAGAAAGCCUCGGCUAACUACGUG
rnacentral:rRNA from 1 species